UACGUAGGGAGCAAGCGUUGUCCGGAAUCAUUGGGCGUAAAGCGCGCGUAGGUGGCUUCGUAAGUCCGUUGUGAAAGUCAAAGGCUCAACCUUUGAGAGCCGAUGGAUACUGUGAAGCUAGAGUACGGAAGAGGCGAGUGGAAUUCCUGGUGUAGCGGUGGAAUGCGCAGAUAUCAGGAGGAACACCAAUAGCGAAGGCAGCUCGCUGGGACGUUACUGACACUGAGGCGCGAAAGCGUGGGGAGCGAACAGG
rnacentral:rRNA from 1 species